rnacentral:rRNA from 1 species
UACGUAGGGUGCGAGCGUUGUCCGGAAUUAUUGGGCGUAAAGGGCUCGUAGGCGGUUUGUCGCGUCGGGAGUGAAAACUCAGGGCUUAACCCUGAGCCUGCUUCCGAUACGGGCAGACUAGAGGUAUGCAGGGAAGAACGGAAUUCCUGGUGUAGCGGUGAAAUGCGCAGAUAUCAGGAGGAACACCGGUGGCGAAGGCGGUUCUCUGGGCAUUACCUGACGCUGAGGAGCGAAAGUGUGGGGAGCGAACAGG